rnacentral:rRNA from 1 species
GACGAACGCUGGCGGCGUGCCUAAUACAUGCAAGUCGAACGCAGUGGGGACGGGUGAUUAACACGUGGGUAACCUCCCAUCAGAGGGGAUAACACUUGGAAACAGGUGCUAAACCGAUACUGAUGGAUGGACCCGCGGUGCAUUAGCUAGUUGGUGAGGUAACGGCUCACCAAGGCCACGAUGCAUAGCCGACCGAGGAGGGUGAGCAGCCACACGGGGACGGAGAAAAGGCCCAGACUCAGAAGGUAGGCAGCAGUGGGGAAUCGUCGGAAAUGGACGAAAGUCUGACCGAGCAACGCCGCGUGAGUGAAGAAGGUUUUCGGAUCGUAAAACUCUGUGGUUAGAGAAGCGGUAUCUAACCAGAAAGCCACGGCUAACUACGUGCCAGCAGCCGCGGUAAGUC